rnacentral:rRNA from 1 species
CAAUAGCGUAUAUUAAAGUUGUUGCAGUUAAAAAGCUCGUAGUUGGAUUUCUGGUUGAAGCGACCGGUCGGGCGUUGAUUCGUCUGCACUGGAGUCGGUUUUGGCCAUCCUCUAGGAAAGUGCGUCUGGUAUUAAGUUAUCGGGCGUAUGAUCCUGGUCUUUUACUGUGAAAAAAUUAGAGUGUUUAAAGCAGGCCUUCGCCUUGAAUACAUUAGCAUGGAAUAAUAAGAUAGGACUUUGGUCUAUUUUGUUGGUUUGCAGACCGAAGUAAUGAUUAAUAGGGAUAGUUGGGGGUAUUUAUAUUCCGAUGUCAGAGGUGAAAUUCUUAGAUUUUCGGAAGAUAAACUUAUGCGAAAGCAUUUACCAAGGAUGUUUNCAUAAA